AGCACAGUAGCAUAGUGGUUUCGAAGUCAAGCUCUGGAAUCAGACCAAUCUGGGUUCAAAUCCCAGCUCUGCUA
rfam:Macaca mulatta chromosome 11, whole genome shotgun sequence.